GAGAAGGGUGUCGUAGAAGAGCGUUACUUCGACUGAGGAUCGGCGGGUCGGGAGUUCGAAUCUCCCCUUUCUCU
rnacentral:tRNA from 1 species